ACAGGAGGACAGUUAAAGUUUCCUGCUUUGCUGAGGAGUCUGCCAGACACAUAUGGCCUAUGGGUCGAAGAUGGAACAUUACAGAAGAACUUCGGUGACUGACCAGGAAGUAACAGCCCACCAUUGAGAGGAGUCAGUGAAGGAGCCAAAAGCAGGUAAAUAACGGGAGAGAUGGGUGGCCUGCAGAACUCAACUGAGAAAGUACAUGAGGGAAUGUCAUUCUUUGCUGGGCCUGAGCUCUACUCUGUAUGUUUCUUCUUUUGGCCAAUUUUAAUUUCUAGAUUUAUACUGCAAUAAACUAAC